AAUAAUUUUUUUAUGGAUUAAAAAUUUAUUAAAAAUUUAUUUUACAUAUAAAUUUUAGUUUAUUUAAAUUAUUUAAAAAAUAAUUUAUUAAAAAUGUAGUAAUUAAUAUUGAAUAUUUAAGGAAUUAAGAUUUAGUAAUAUGAUAUAAUUAAUAACAAAUUUUGUGCCAGCAGUUGCGGUUAAACAAAAAUUAAAUUAAAUUUUAUUAGUUAAUUAAAUAAUAAGUAAAAUUAUAUAAUUAAAAAAUUAAAUUAUUAAGUGAAAUUUUAAUUUAAUAAAAUAUUAUAAAAUUUUUAUGUUUUAAUAAAUUUUUUUUAAGACUAGGAUUAGAUACCCUAUUAUGAAAAUUUUAAAUUUUAAUACUAAAAUAGUAGAUUAUAAAUAUUGAAACUUAAAUAAUUUGGCGGUAUUUUAGUUCAUUUAGAGGAAUCUGUUUAUUAAUUGAUAAUCCACGAAUAAAUUUACUUAAUUUUUAAUUUUGUAUAUCGUUGUUAAAAAAAUAUUUUAUAAUAAAAAUAAUAUUUAAAAAUUAUAAAUAAAAUUAAAUCAGAUCAAGAUGCAGAUUAUAAUUAAGAAUAUAAUGGAUUACAAUAAAUUUAUUUAAAUGAAUAUUAAUAUGAAAUUUUUAAUUGAAAUUGGAUUUAAAUGUAAUUUUUUUUUUAUUUUAUAAAAAUGAUUAUAAAUUAAAAUAUGUACAUAUUGCCCGUCGCUUUCAUAUAAAUGUUUAAAUUGAAAUAAGUCGUAACAAAGUAGAGGUACUGGAAAGUGUUUCUAGAAAGAU
rnacentral:ncRNA from 1 species